rnacentral:rRNA from 1 species
AUGAACGCUGGCGGCGUGCUUAAUACAUGCAAGUCGAACGGAAACAGUAGCAAUAUUGUUUUAGUGGCGAACGGGUGAGUAACGCGUUGGUGACCUGCCCCGAAGAGAGGGAUAACAGUUCGAAAGGAUUGCUAAUACCUCAUGUGGUCAUAUGGUUUAGAAGCUUAUGACUAAACGGAUUUAUUCGCUUCGGGAGGGGCCUGCGUCCCAUCAGCUAGUUGGUAAGGUAAUGGCUUACCAAGGCUAUGACGGGUAGGGGACCUGAGAGGGUGGACCCGCACAAUGGAACUGGAACACGGUCCAUACACCUACGGGUGGCAGCAGUAGGGAAUAUUGGUGAAUGUGGGAAACCGCGAACCAGCAACGCCGCGUGCGCGAUGAAGGCCUUCGGGUCGUAAAGCGCUUUUAGAGAGGAUGAGGAAGGACAGUACUCUCUGAAUAAGCCUCGGCUAACUACGU